AUGGACGAAAGUCUGACGGAGCGACGCCGCGUGAGCGAAGAAGGCCUUCGGGUCGUAAAGCUCUGUUGUGAGGGACGAAGGAGCGCCGUUUGAACAAGGCGGCGCGGUGACGGUACCUCACGAGAAAGCCCCGGCUAACUACGUGCCAGCAGCCGCGGUAAUACGUAGGGGGCGAGCGUUGUCCGGAAUUAUUGGGCGUAAAGCGCGCGCAGGCGGUUCCUUAAGUCUGAUGUGAAAGCCCCCGGCUCAACCGUGGAGGGUCAUUGGAAACUGGGGGACUUGAGUGCAGGAGAGGAGAGCGGAAUUCCACGUGUAGCGGUGAAAUGCGUAGAGAUGUGGAGGAACACCAGUGGCGAAGGCGGCUCUCUGGCCUGUAACUGACGCUGAGGCGCGAAAGCGUGGGGAGCAAACAGGAUUAGAUACCCUGGUAGUCCACGCCGUAAACGAUGAGUGCUAAGUGUUAGAGGGGUCACACCCUUUAGUGCUGCAGCUAACGCGAUAAGCACUCCGCCUG
rnacentral:rRNA from 1 species